UGAAUUUAUGCAACGGUGGUUGAUAAAAUGAUCAAAAAGUGAAUUUUUCAUAUUUUUUUGCAAAGUGUAAGAGGCACAACUCUGUCAAAAAUCAUUGCACCGGAACUAUAUUCGAACUCGGAGUGUAUAUUAAUAAGGAGCUUUACAUUCCUGAAGGACUCCAUAGAUAUGAACAUUAUAAUGUUUGUGGGCAGCUUGUUCCAGAUCCUAAUGGUGGUUAAAUGAUUCCUUGAAGACUUCGGAGCGACAAAAUAGGAUCACGUACAGCUGUUGGUGUCCCUAGUGACUGCUCCUGUCUGGUUGAAUUGGAGAGACAGUUCUAUGGCAAAUACGGCAAAAAACGGACAUUUAGAUCUUUACAUAUCGUGUCACCUGAAAUAUGUAUAUUGUGAACUAAUCGUAUCAUAGCUAAACGAAUCGCAUAAGGACAUGUCGACCCGCAUCAAUUCCUAUCAAAUCAUAAAAUUAGAAGUUCCAUGAUCAGAUACCAUUGCCACUCGUUGUGUACCUAAGUACCUAGUAUAAUAGAAAUCAUUCAAAAGUUAAAGUAAUAUUGGACAGACAACUAAAAGAGCAGCAAGGGAAAACCUCGAUGCGUUGACUCAAAACAAUUAGGCCCUAUGGAGCAAACAUAAUACUGCCUUGAAUAAUCUUACUUCAUGUAUAUUCCCCCGAUAUUGAAAACUCAGCCAGUAGAAUGUCGGAUUCUUAUAAUAUAUUGUUUCUCUAUUUGAGAGCGAUUAUUUCACGAAUAAAUCAGAAUUUUUACUCGCCAUGUUCAUCACGAUAAACAUAUAAAUUGUUCACACGAGUAUCCUUUAUUUUACUCUUGGGUAAAUUAUUGUAUCUAUAAAGAUUAAUCAGACUAA
rnacentral:sRNA from 1 species